UACGUAGGGUGCAAGCGUUGUCCGGAAUCACUGGGCGUAAAGCGCACGUAGGCGGGUCCUUAAGUCAGGAGUGAAAUCCUGGAGCUCAACUCCAGAACUGCCCUUGAUACUGAGGAUCUCGAGUUCGGGAGAGGUGAGUGGAACUGCGAGUGUAGAGGUGAAAUUCGUAGAUAUUCGCAAGAACACCAGUGGCGAAGGCGGCUCACUGGCCCGAUACUGACGCUGAGGUGCGAAAGCGUGGGGAGCAAACAGG
rnacentral:rRNA from 1 species